CUCCGUUUACGUUCAUUUGCGCUGCUCACUUCUAAGCUGUUUCACGUUCCGGAACUCUCACUCGUCGGCCAAUACAAAAUGGCGGACAUCUGGGCACAGGCGUCGACAACGGUACUGCCAAUGCUGUUUCAAUCGGAAUGGCGGCGGCCGUCAAUCGACGUAGCAGUGCGUUACGACGUGAGAGUAGACUUUGUCCCGUAAUGAAUCACUUGGAUUUUUAUGAAAUGUGAACAUGUUGACUUAUUCAUUGAGAAAUGGUUAUUUUGUAAGUAAGGAUUUUGUACUAAAAAAGGUAGAGAAGUGGGUUAUCAUUACACAAUUAUUUUACCAAUUGGAUUGGUAUAUAGUAUUGUGAAUCCAACAUCACAUCAUUAUUAUAAUUCAGUCAUCAUAAUACAAAGGUUGGAAAAGUUCUUCACAGUUAAACCCUGAGUUAGGUGGUUAAUUCUAGGGUUUAUUAGAUGGUUAUUAUUAAUCCAUUGCUAUAUUAUUAGCAUGUCCAGUAUUGAAGAUUACUACUUCUUCAAUGCUAAACUAUUUAUAUGUUGACUUAAUCUGCGUCUUAUCAACAGCUUCUAAGAUUUUCCAUACCUACCUCAUAUAUUAGAAGUUGGAGUUAAUAUAUGUAAUGGAUGGUCCAUAAGACGAUGUGUUUAACAUAUAGACACAGGCGGAUAUAUUUUUGUAUCUAUUACCUUGUAUUAGCAAAGAGGUUCGUGGAGUGACUGGUGAUCAACCCCUUAUCAGCCCCAUCUAAGUUGCCGUAGACUCAGACAUGAAGUAAACUAGUGAACAAACAAAUUAUAAAUACUAACUUAAAUUAGGCUUUAGGGCUUAAAAAUUGUCAAGUAUAUUUAUUAUGUACUAUUUUAUUUUCCAUAAGCUUAAUUUGUUUGCAUAAUAUUUAUCUAACAAAAGUGACUCACUAUUUUUUGACCUUAAGUAUAUUAUGUUUCAUUCUA